UACGGAGGGGGCCAGCGUUGUUCGGAAUUAUUGGGCGUAAAGGGCGCGUAGGCGGCGCUGUAAGUCGGGUGUGAAAUCCCGCGGCUCAACCGCGGAACUGCAUUCGAUACUGCAGAGCUCGAGUCCCGGAGAGGGUAGCGGAAUUCCCAGUGUAGCGGUGAAAUGCGUAGAUAUUGGGAGGAACACCAGUGGCGAAGGCGGCUACCUGGACGGGUACUGACGCUGAGGCGCGAAAGCGUGGGGAGCAAACAGG
rnacentral:rRNA from 1 species